GUCGAGGGGUAUAUGGAGCUUGCUCCAUAGAGACCGGCGCACGGGUGCGUAACGCGUAUGCAACCUACCUUGAACAGGGGAAUAGCCCAGAGAAAUUUGGAUUAAUGCCCCAUAGUAUAUAUGGAUCGCAUGGUUUAUAUAUUAAAGUCACAACGGUUCAAGAUGGGCAUGCGUCCCAUUAGCUGGUUGGUAAGGUAACGGCUUACCAAGGCAAUGAUGGGUAGGGGUCCUGAGAGGGAGAUCCCCCACACUGGUACUGAGACACGGACCAGACUCCUACGGGAGGCAGCAGUGAGGAAUAUUGGUCAAUGGGCGCAAGCCUGAACCAGCCAUGCCGCGUGCAGGAUGAAGCAUCUAUGGUGUGUAAACUGCUUUUGUACGGGAAGAAACACCGGUUCGUGAACCGGCUUGACGGUACCGUAAGAAUAAGGAUCGGCUAACUCCGUGCCAGCAGCCGCGGUAAUACGGAGGAUCCAAGCGUUAUCCGGAAUCAUUGGGUUUAAAGGGUCCGUAGGCGGCCCUGUAAGUCAGUGGUGAAAUCUCCCGGCUCAACCGGGAAAUUGCCAUUGAUACUGCAGGGCUUGAAUUGCUGGGAAGUAACUAGAAUAUGUAGUGUAGCGGUGAAAUGCUUAGAGAUUACAUGGAAUACCAAUUGCGAAGGCAGGUUACUACCAGCGGAUUGACGCUGAUGGACGAAAGCGUGGGUAGCGAACAAGAUUAGAUACCCUGGUAGUCCACGCCGUAAACGAUGGAUACUAGCUGUUGGGGGCAACUUCAGUGGCUAAGCGAAAGUGAUAAGUAUCCCACCUGGGGAGUACGGGCGCAAGCCUGAAACUCAA
rnacentral:rRNA from 1 species